UUUUUUUAAAAAGUUUUAGUGACAAAAAAUUUGGCAUUAUAAUUUUAUAAGUUGGUGUUUAGAUGCAUGGUAAAGUUUUACCAAAUUGUUGCUGCCUCUCUUAUACACGGGGCCUGAUACUUUUUUCUUGCCUAAAUUUGCUACUAUAGACUCCUAAAUGACAAAUGCCAACUUGUCUACUUUUUGUUACUAGUGUUUAGAUCCAUUUUAUCAAAAAAAUGGUCUAAAACGGUACAACUUUUAUCAUUUUAGAGUAUCUAAACAAGCCCAUAAUGAUGAUGAUUAUUAUUAAGGGGUGCUUGAGGUGUCUAGGUGGAUUUAACUAAUGAGGUAACAUCAUAAAAUUUCUCAUUGCCGUAUCACCAAAUCACUGUUGCAUGCAUAUAGCAGGAGUACACAUCACCAUCACCAUCAUUUGAAAGAGAGCAUAUAAGAGGUUGGCCAUUAGCAGUGUUUGGUGGUGGGCAUUAUUCCUCUUUUCAUUUUCUUGCAUCAUUGUCAUUGGUCCCAAGAAUGCGGGAUUAUUUCCACGUGAUAUAUUUAUACCUUUUCCUUGGAUUUGAACUUGUUCUCCCUGGAAUGGGAGUUUAAUCUUGCAAUUCAUUUUCUUUUCAUUCAAAAAUGGAAUCUAUGACAUGUUUGGUUUGCUGUUCAACUAACCCUACCAAAAUUUAACACUUUUGGUUUGCAUUUGGUUUGCAAAUUCUGAUAGUCUUGAAUGCAUUUGGUUUGAAACCUUACCAAAUUUAUUUUGGUAUAGCUUUUAAGAACGCAAUUUUCUGAAACCACUUAAAUUUGAUUGGGUAGCGGUAGUAACAAUGGGGCUGACAGGAUACGCUGGCCGCUGUUGUCUACAGUCGUUUCCAAUGCUAUCGCAGGCUCGCAUCCAUAGGCAGCAAACACAACCGAACACGUCUAAUAUGUUUGGUAAUGUCAAAUUUUGAUAGGGCUCAAAAGUGAGAACAAAACAAGCAUGCAUUUCUACUACUUUCUUCGUUUUAUAUAAAAGACCCUUUGAUCUUUUCCUAAUCAAACUUUUAACCCAAAUAUAUAGUAACAUUUUUUUACCCAAAACAAACACACGACCAUAAUAUAUUAAAAGUUAGGUUUAACAAAACUAAUCUGGUAUUAUAGAUAUUAUUAUUAAUUUUUCUAUAAACUUGAUGAAACCUAAAUAGGUUUGACUUAAAAAACAAAACAGUAAUAUAUGAAGAUGGACUUGUUAUUCGAGGGGGAAAUGAUAGUAUGGGCAUUUACUUUUAUCAAAUGGGCAUGCCAAAUCAGCCCAGUUCAGCCUAUCCUGAAAGGCCCAGUAAAAAUGCAGGCCCAAUUACUCCUCAAUGCCCAAUUCUCUUCUUUACAAUUAUAAAAAUUAGAUGUUUUGCCGUUAUUUAUUAAUUUAUUCAUUAGUUUUAAAAUACUGUAGAAGUCGUAUAAGAAAUCUCUUUAGAAAAGCUCUUAUGCUAACUUAAAAUGAUCGGACUCCUAACUGCGACUUCUGAUUUUCUUAAAAGAAUAUACAUCCACGUGAAUUCUCACAGCUAAUUUCACUUUUAACUAAACCGCAUAACAAUAAUAAGAUUAAACUAGACUUCACAUGUUGCAACAGACGUGCAUUUUUUUUUCUAUUUUUUUAUUUUAAAAUCAUCUGAAAAGAAAAGAAAAAAAAAGGAAAUUUACUAGUACUCGUAUCGUCUUCCUCCUCUCUAAAACCCACGAACCCCUCGUCUCUCUCACUCCCCUCCCCAACCAGAUCAAACGCUAGGGUUUCCUCGACUUCGACUUCGUCUUCCUCCUCGAGCAGAGCAGCAGCAGAGAUGAAGCUCGCGGGGCUCAAGUCGGUGGACGGGGCCCACGAGGAGUCCAUCUGGGCGGCGGCGUGGGUGCCCGCGGCGGACCACCGCCCCGCGGCGCUGCUCCUGACGGGCGCCCUCGACGAGACCGUCCGCCUCUGGGCCCCCGACGACCUCGCCUCCGCCGCCGCCUCCCCCUCGCGGGGCCACGCGCUCGGGGUGGUGUCGCUCGCCGCCCACCCCGCGGGCGCCGUCGCCGCCGCCGUCUCCCUCGACAGCUACGUCCGCGUCUUCGAUGUGGACUCGGGCUCCUCCGUCGCCACGCUCGAGGCCCCUCCCUCCGAGGUCUGGGGCAUCCAGUUCCACCCCAAGGUAGGUGAUGAUCCUACCCCCCACCCCACCAUCUUUGCUUUGCGAUUCACAUUCUGAGGUUGCUUGACUAGAUUCGUUGUGUGGGGGAGAUGUGAGAGGCGUGGGAUUUCAGUGUGAUAAUGUGGUAAUUACAGUUGAUUCGAGCAUCAUUUCCAUCUGUUGUAUGGGUUUGUAUAGUUUGGAAUAUGUCUAGUGUGGUUUUUUUUACCUAGUGUAAUGUGUGAUCUUUUCUCAGAUGUUUUAGUAGAUUUUAGUAUCAUUUUAACUGAAACUUCAUGACAAAAGUGUGGCCUUGAUUGGCACUUUGUGGUAGUUUUAUUAGAUUUAAAGAAAAUAAAGGAAUCUAAAAGAAUGUUUUCGCAAAGUUAAGGAAUAUAUGCAAAGUGAUCAUUUCAAUUUUCGAGCAGUUCAAAUACGCAAUUGAUGACUGAGGUUUGGUUGUUAAAUUCGGUGGGCAAGUCUGACAGUAUAUUCAGUUGUUACUGCUUAUUAUCAUUGACCACAGUACCUCACUUUUGUGGAAUAGCGCUCCUUCAUCUCAACACUGCAACAAAUUUAGUAAUCGCUUUGAAGAGGAUCAUCAUGUGAAGUAUGGUGUUUCAUGCAUUGCUGGCAAAGUGUGUGCAACAUUUACUGCAUAGUCGCUUAGACUCUGAGAAUAAUGUUGAAUCCUACCUUUUCGAUUCUCUUUCAGACUCAGUAAAUUAAGCGACAAUUAAUUGUGUAUCCAAACUCAUUGGACAUAUUUUUAUCAUAGUUACAGGUUUUGCAUAGGUCCUGUUUUCAUGCUUCCUUUGUAUUUUAAAAAUUGAUUUGUAUUCAUGUUUUUCACAAUAUGCCAGAUAAUUAUCUAUUUGGGUAACCCACCUUUCUGUGCAAGAUGACUAAACAUCACUACGCCCAUUGCAAUCACUGCCAGAAAUGGUUUGUCAAAGUAGCGUAUCUGUGGUCAAUUCAUUUUCAUAUUGCCUUGUUGUGAUUCAUCUUGCUAAUUUCCAGAACAUACUAUUUUUCUUAAAUGAUAUUUUGGUAUGUACUAAACCUUGCUAGAAUUGACCUAUGGCCUUAAGACAUUAUUUAUUUUCUUCCAUAAACGUGUUGAUACAAUUAUGUCUAAUUCAAUGAGAAUCGGAGAUGCUUGUUCAAGCUUGUCUUCUCACUUGCAGUUGAGACGUGUUACGCAUUCAGCGUUUUCCACUGUGCUAUCUCUAUAUACCUUUGUUGACAGCAUAUACUAAUUUUUCUAAAACCUGCAGUACCAGGAAUUAACCUCCUUUUAUGGUAGCCUCACUUUACUGAAGGUCUUCACUUGUUCUAGCUACUGACAUUAUUACCUCACCCACAAAUGCUUUCCUUCACAGGGUAGUGCUCUGGCUGCAGCUGGUGGUGGCAGUGGAUCAGUGAAGCUCUGGGACACAGAGAAGUGGAAGCCAAUUACCAGCCUUGCUGUUCCGCGUCCAGAGGGAGCUCGCCCUGAUAAAACAGGAAGCGGCAAGUUUGUCCUUUCAGUUGCAUGGAGUCCUGAUGGCAAGCUCUUAGCUUGUGGUUCCAUGGAUGGCACCAUCGCUGUGUAUGACGCAGUUCGCAUGAAGUUCCUCCACCACCUUGAGGGCCAUCACAUGCCAGUGAGAUCAAUGGUGUUCUCUCCAGUGGACCCGCACGUGCUCUUCACUGCCUCCGACGAUUGCCACAUCCACAUAUACGACGCCAAGGAGAAGAGCCUCAUUGGGGCCAUGUCAGGGCAUGCGAGCUGGGUGCUGAGCAUCGACGUGAGCCCAGACGGCAUGGCGGUAGCGACAGGCUCCAGUGACCGCACGGUCCGGCUUUGGGACAUCAACACGAGGGCGUCGGUGCAGACGAUGAGCAACCACAAUGAUCAGGUCUGGGCUGUCGCCUUCCGACCACCGGGUGGGACAGGAGUCCGCGCAGGCCGGCUUGCCAGCGUGUCAGAUGACAAGAGCAUCACCCUGUACGAUUACUCAUAGUUUUAACACUGCAACCUGCAACUUCAUUGUAGUCAGCUGUUUCCAACUUGCAUUGGAAAAAAAAACCUGUUGUACAAUCCUAAUUAAGCUCAUGAGUUGCAAGUAGAGUGCGUUUAUUUCCAGUAUUGGCCUCAGAGUUGCAAACUCGCUCCUUAUUGUUCUUUUGCAAGUGAUCUCAAGUUGUCAGUUUGAAGUAAAAAUAUCUUCAAUUCUAGCCCGAUUAAGUGCUUUUGUCACUGGAAUUUAUAAUCUUUUUUUACAGUCCUCAUAAGCCAUAAUGUGAAUAUGUGUCUUGCCUAACUCUGAGACGCCUCAGUGUUUAUAUCUGAAGGUAAACAUAGAAAUGCGCUAUAGAAAUGCUUCAGUUUUUCAAAGUGAAGCAUCACACGACACGAUUCAAUCUUGUUCCUGGAAGAUGUUGCAAUUUUGCUAACUAGUAAUUUGCCCGUGGUAACGCUACGGUAGCAUUCAGUAAUACAAAUUAAACAAUCAAAAGAAUACAAUAUAUGUUUUCUCAAACAUACAUAAUAGAAGGUUUAAUAUUAAACACGAGUUAUUAUAUGGUUAAUUACAAAGCCAUUCUAGUAAAAAUAACAUCGCAACUGUUUCAUUGUUUCGAAACAUUAUGAGAUUUAUUUAUCCCUCGUCUAGAUCCAUUGACAUGCAUACGAAUUUGGAUAUAUAUAAAUCGUCUCUUAGCGGGGAUACAAAGCCCUUCUUAAAAAAGAUAAAUGUAUUCAAAACCCAAAACGUCUUAUAGUGGGAUACAAAGGAAGUAAUUCCUAAUGUACGCCUUCAGAAUCAAAGCAUAGACAUAAAAAAUCAAAUCAUCCAUCAACAUCUAAUGUUUAAUCUAUAUCUCAUUUUAGAUAGUUCAUUAUCUACUAUCGUUUUUCUUAUAAACCAUAAAAAAAUAGCUAUUCCUAUACAUAUGUCACCAAAUAGAAUUUUCCUUCUAUUUUAUCUUGUUCACAUGGCCCAAAUAUUAUUAGGAGGAGCAACACCAUUAUUCAUUUUGCAAAUCAACGAUCAGCAGUUAAUUACCUGGAAUAUUAUCCUAAUCAACACCAUUAAGCUUAUGAGGUAUGCACCACUAUUUCUGGAAUACUAUCAUAAUCAAUUUGCACACUUCUUAAAUGAAGUUGAUUGUUGAAUCGAUAAUCAUGAGGCAAACAAUUCCCAGAAAAUCUGUCCACUCAGGACCUUGGCUCUGAAAAAAACCAGUGAAUGAACGGAUAUUGAAGAAAACCAUUAUGGGUUUCUUUGGAUGAAUUUAGCAUUGUUGAACAAUCAUCGAUGUUUACAUCCUAUAUUCCAAAGAACACAAAUCAGAUCACUUACACCACCAUUUGCUAAGACCAAUGCCAUCACUGUUGCUGCCCAAAUCACUUAGGACAAAGGAUUCCACAUAAAGCUGAGGAACUUGAUGCUCUUGUUCUAUUCCAAAAGGAAGUAAAAAAUAUGAGGAUUUCAGAACAGGAAUGUAGGUAAACAAUGAUCAGAAAAAGGCAGAUAAACUUCUCCAAUCUGCUUGCACCGGACAGCUGCAAGCGUUCUACUGCAUCUUCUGAUGAAAGCCCCACGUGAAAUGUAUUCAGCUCCUCAAAAAAUGUCUACAAGGAGCAGAUUCACCUGUUAUUAUAUAUCCUUACAAAGCACAGCAUUAAGACUAUAUGUUUCAGAACCCGUCAAAGUCUACGAUAUGCCAAAUUAUACAAAAGUCUACACCUUGCGUAUGUACUGGUGUCUGGUCACCUGAAAUAUAGAUAUUACCUGAAGAUUAUUGCCAGUUGAAGACCAUGCAAAAGUCUGAGAUGCAAUUAAAAAGUUUAACCUGAGAUAGAAAGUAGAAAAUUGUUAGGACACCGCAUCAUUCUGAAUUUUAAGUCGACCAAACAUAUAUAUGUGACAGGAAAAAUUGCAACCAGUUGCUAUAGAAAAAUAUAAAUUUCGCUUAAAAUAUCUUAAAACUAAUCAAAUCCAAACAAAGGUACAGUUGUUCCAACCUAUCUUUUCGAAUUCUCAAAGACAAGAUCACAAAACACAUGAGGUGCUUCAAUCUGAAUGUUUUGGUUCAAGAUACCUUUCGGCGGCGGAGGAACGGCGGCGUGGCUCCGUAUAGGCGGCGGUUGAGGCGGAGGCCGAGGAGGAGGUCGCCAAAGCAGUUUGUCGGAGGAGACCGGCGAUGCGUGACGAUUUGAGUGGCGGAGGGACGGCGGUGAUGCCGGUUGAGACAGUCCGAGGAGACUUCAGCGGCCGAGGGACAACGACGGGAGACCGGAUCGGCGAUGUCGGUUGAGGCGGCGGCGGCAGGCAGUCGUCGGAGAGGCGGCGGAGAAAAAAAUUCCAAAUCCAGAAGAGAAGCUAUGGUUAACGCAAGAAAAUUCAAGAAAAAAAUGGGUGGGAGAUAGAGGGAUGAUGGUCAUUUCAUAUCAGCUUGUACAUUCAAACUAAUUUGAUCCUGUUCACUUAUAUAAUCAUAUCAAGAUAUUUUUAUGAAAUGAACAUCAAACUAUAUGCUUGAGAAGAUUUUUCUAACUUUCAGGAAGUCCGUGGUCGCACUUAUAUUAUGAUUUUCUAUAGACUUUGUGCAAAUUCUCGAAAGGAACUAUAGUAUAGUAACAUAGGCAGUGGUUCGCACUUAUGAAAAAAAUCUGCUUAAAAUAUUCUAUUGUGUGGUCUAGAUUAUGCAGAUAAUAGUCCCCUGUCCAUGCUCUAAGAGGAAAGAUCUAGCAAGUAUGAUGGUGCCUCCCGUUCGACAGGUUUCUGACAAACAAUGCACAUAUACAUUACAAGAGAAUUGUCUGUGACGUCGCGGAUCAAAAUGGGGACGUGGUCAACCUAACAAAUUGGGUAUGUCUGAAAUGAACCCACCCUAACAGAAGAAAAGAAAGAAAAACAACUGUCCGGUAUUCCUCUGUCUGCAAGGUAGGGAAAAAUCAUUACCAACGGAAAUCAUUUGUAUAAUCACCCCCAAUGGAUCAGCUAUCAAUGUAGACCAAAAGAUUCAGCAAUAUGAAAGUUGAAUUAGGGAAACCAUUAUUGAUCAACCUAUAACAGGAAAAGAUAAUCUGCAGCAUAUCAUUUUAUACCCACAGCUUUUUGACAUAAGCAUUUUAACAAACACAAAUCGUGCACACACCUGAUGGAGACAGGGAAGCAGCAGUCCUCCACACUGCCACAGGAGUAGGCGUCGACGGCGGUGGCGUUGGUGGCGGGGGAUACGGCGUCGGCGUCGGCGUCGGGGUCGGGGAGGAGUCACUGCGAGGGGUGGCGGCAUCGGUAGUAGGUGGGCGGAAGGAGGAAAGGCGGGGGGACAGCGUCAGCACUGGGAGGAGGAGGAGAGGUGUGGAGAUCCUGAGCGGCAGGGGCGGCGGGGGUUAGGGUUGGGAAUCGCGAGGGAAUCGACGGGGGCAGCUACCUGAAAGAGGGAGGGCGUAGCCGCAAUGGAGGCAAGGUGGAGAGCGAUGGGCGGCGGUGACGAUGGUGGGCGCCGGCGCGGCGAUGUGGGAGAGGCGCAACGAUGGAGGGGAGGCGCGGCGAUUUUUCGCGGUACGGAGGGGCGCGCGGCGCGAUGGUGGUGCGGACUGCGGAGGAGGAGCACAUCGAUUGCCGCCGGGCGGUGAGGGGGCGAGGACGCGAGGGGGAUGCGCACGGCGGCGAGGGGGCGAGAGAGCACGAGGAGAGGAGGUGCGGCGCUGGGCGGUGGGAUGCGGCGUGAUCUCGGGCGUGAGGAGAUGGGUGCGGGGAGGGAAGGAGGGGGAGACGUGGGGUAAUGUGAGGCGUUGGAUUGGAUGAUUUUGGACCAUUGGAUGUGUCACAUGAUGAACGAGUAAAAGCAUUUGUUGAACUAAUAUAUGUCCAGCCACGGAUAAUUCAACAAAAAAUACUACACGUGCAAAAAUAAAAUGUUACUAGCUGUUUGCAAAUGUUGAUAUUGCAUGGAAUCUUAUCACAAUUCACACGUAUAUUCAAAUGGUUCUUAUCAUGGUUUGUUUAUCAUUUUAUUAUAGUAAUAAUCCUUCCUUCUAUGAUAUUUGUGAGUUCUCUACUUACACAAUGGCAUGCCUAUUUGUUUAUCAGUCUACUUAGUUAUGGAUACAUGAUAAUACUAGAAAAUUGGCGUGCUUGGUAAUUUAACCUAUGAUAAUACUAUUUAAAUCUUAUUUACAAUGCCAGAUUUUCUUAAAUAGCGAUUGGUUCAAUAUUCAUAAAUGUCGAUAAACAUUGUUCAAUUUUUAGUUCUAUACUUGUAGACUAUUGAGAAAAACAGUACCAAAACAUGGUAGUAAUGCGUGCUACUAACAAACCGGUGAACAUUUUGUAUUAUAAGGAUAUAAAAGCGUAUUUUAUAAAUAUUCUAUCUUACUUUUGUAAAUUUAAGGGUAUUGAAUAAAAGCUUUUAUAAUUUGUAAAAUCGUGAGAAAUAUUUUCUUGUUAUGUUUAUAGUUGCUAUUUUAUUGUUUCGAUUUUUUUUAUAGACAUGGGAUAUCCGCAUGGUUAAGUUAUCUAUUUUGAAUUUUAACAUAGUCACUUAGAAACAUUUUUCACUGACUUUUAUUUAAAAAUAGUAAAUUUUGUGAAUUAGAAAAAAAAAUCAUUUUUCAUUUUUCAUUCUUAAUUGUUUUUAAUACCUGCUACUCUUUUGUACAUUAAAUUUCCUUUAAAACAAUAAAAUUUGUGGAUUAGCCAAAAAAUAUAUAUAUUUUCAUUUUCAUUUUUAUUUUUAAUACUUGCUACUCUUUUUAUACAAUAAAUUUUAUUCUUUAUAUUACUUAAAUAUAUGGUUUCCAUUUUAUGACGUACGGUGUAUUAGAAUAUAAAAUGACAUUAAUCUUGAGUUCUGAUCAUUAAUAUCUUUCGUAGUAUACUAUAUCAGUAAUAUCUGAAAAAAUAAUACGAAUCCAACUCUUCUUGUAUGUUUAAGAUUGCCACAUAGAUUUUGCACUGCAUUCCAACUCCUCAUAUCUGCAAGCGUGCAGCCAGUUUAGUUCACAGUUAGUCCCUCCGUUUCACAAUGUAAAUCAUUUUAGCAUUUCCCACAUUCAUAUUGAUGUUAAUGAAUCUAGAUAUACAUCAAUAUAAAUGUGAGAAAUACUAAAAUAACUUAUGUUGUGAAACAGAGGAAGUAAAAUACAUCCAUAUACUCCAUCUAAUUAAUGUAUUCACUGUCAACCAUCGGUUAAUUAGCGUGGCUAAUAGUACGCGAGAGAUCCAGAAGGACAUGACUACUCAGAACACAUCCAUGUGUCGUUAAGUUAUAUGGCCAUUUGGACCAAUCAAAUGCUGGCUGAACGGCUAGCUUGAGACCAGUAGAUUAUGUUGGGUAUAUGAAACAUGACUUUGCUACGAAGGGACCGGAUAGGGCUGUUGAUGAAUUUUUUGGGCCACCUUGGUUGCACAACAUCCUAUGUUUGUGUUAAUUUUAGGUGACUGAUUUUAUUGUGCGUUCACUUUGCAUAACAACAUGACCAGAUACUAUGAAUCAUUGAUGAAAAUGUGCCUGCUGAGCAUAACUCUACUUUUUGAAGACUCAUCAUUUAGACAUCUAUCAUUCAAUGACUCGCUUUGUUUCGCGUGCUGGUAAGACCAUGUUUAGUUCACACCAAACUUCCCCUAAACUUUUAACUUUCCAUCACAUUACAUCACAUCCAAAACUUUCCUACUUACAUAAACUCCUAACUUUUUUUCCAAACUACCAACUUUCUCUAAACUUCUCCCCAAUUUCAAAAACUAAACACAGCCUAAGUAGCUCGGCCUAAAUGCUCCAUAGAAUUCAGCCUUAAGGAGCGUUUGGACCAAGCUACUCAGCAAAAAGAGCUGAUGAGGGUUCUGUUGCAUAAAAGCAUCUAUCAUUGCUGUAGCAGAGCAAUGUUGCAUAUUAGCAUAACACAAUGCCCACAGAAAUUAGCCACAAAAUUAGCAUGUUUUAGAACCGCAAGAGUUAUUGAUAAACAUUAUCUAAAAUUCAAAGAAUAGAACAGGGGAACACCUUCUGGCAGGGGAUUAUGGGAGUAAGGGAGCAAUUUUAUAGAUUCUGUAAAAAGAAGGUGGGGGAUGGAAAGAAUACCAUGUUUUGGGUAGAUAAUUGGAUUGGAGGAAAGCCACUCGCAGAGAAGUUCCCCAGACUCUACAAUAUUUCCUUGUCAAAACAAGUAACUGAGACAAAAGUUCUAAAUGCUGGCUGGGAUGCUUUGAAGUUUAGGAGAAGCCUGGUGGGGGAGAAAAUGAUAGACUGGCAAAACUUGCAACAUUUAUGUCAACCAAUUGUGUUGACUGCUAAAAGUGAUCAGAGUUGUUUGGAAACUUAAAAAAAAAAUGGGAACUUCACUGUUAAAGUCCUUGUAAGCUUUUAUACAAUGCAGAACACAGCACACAGGGUUCCGUUCUUCUCGUCGUCCUGCACGUCGUACUGACGCCAUUGUCGACAAGCUCGAGACGAGCUUAGCAUGGGGAGGCGGCUCAGGGAAGGCUGGGAUUUCAGCUAAUAUAUAGCCUGCAAACAUAAUAUACGAGUUUCGCGUUUUAUACUUUUGUUGCAAUCUGGACAAGUUUCCAGGAGUUCGUUCAAAUGUUGUGUAAAUUCACAAACAUGCUGUCCUUUUUGUAGUGACUUUUGCAGCGUCGUUGCCCACGUUUUAUGCAAGAAAAAAAAAAAAGAGGAAAAACGAUCUCCCAAUUAUGAUGUACUGGGACCGUUGUGAAAGUACUACUUGUAGAAACACUUAACCGUUAACAGCAAAACAGGAGUAGCACCAAAGAAGGAUAAGGAUAGAUACGCAAUUCAAUACAAAGGUUGCUUCUAAAGGUUUUUUUUUUUUUGGGCAUCAGUCUGACAGAACACACCAAAGGUAUGUUUUAAGUGUAAGCAACAUAGCUAGCACAACAAUUUCAUCAUUAUCUUUCUCCAGCCAUCACAAAGCAAAUUAAUAUCGUUCCAAACAUUUAAGGAGCUCAUGAAUCCAAUAAUCCGGAGGUUUUUUUAAAAGGACUCAUCUCAACAUCCAUAACAAGCAAACGAUAGUUGUUUCCGACACCAACAUUAGACCAUAUCGAGUCAACUGACAACCAUAGACUAGACCAAAAAUACGGCGGACUGCAUAGAUAAAACAUCAGUGUCGAGCAGAAGGAACCGCUCAGCACUUGACCUCCUUCAGCCCAUGAGAGAAGUAAAGGAAGGUUGGGUCGGUGGCUCCGUCCUUGUAGUAGGCAAACACCAAGCCGCCAUCAUCAUGCAUGCUCUCACCAACAAAGCUGAAACAGAUCAUAAGAGACAGCAUAAGAAGCAGGUUUGAAUACAAGUCUUAUUGCUUCAAGAAUUUAAUGUGAUAGAACAUAGCAAAUCAUUUAAACUGGAAUUUGUAGGCACUAAUGGUGAGACAUGUUCAUGGCAUCACAUAUGUUACUAUUUCCUGGACCUGUGGCAAGCAAUUAGUGAACUUACAACUGAAGGUCCUUGAGCUUUCCAAGCAAGUACUUGGUGGCACCCUCAAUGUUCUUCUUGAAUUCCUCUUGCUUUUCCGCAUCCAGCUUGGCGGAGAGGUUCUUGAUGUAGCGCUUCAUGAAGGUCACAAACUGCUUCUUGUCAAAAGGAGGUUGCUCCUGCCAAACACACAUGGAAUUUAAGCACAAAAAUAAAGUGCAGAUAGUAUCAUAUACAAGAGCCAAGGUAAUGGAAGUGAGAGCAACCUGAAGACGGAAGGUGUCCACAAUGUCGACCACCUUCACAGCUUGGUCAUCAACACCCUCAUCAUCACCACCACCCUCAGCAGAUGGGUUGGCACCAAUGUCCACAUCAAUAGCUCCUUGAACGACCCACUGCAAGGAUACAACAUAAUAUAAGUAACCAAACAGAAUCAAAUGACAUCUUCACAAGGUAAUAGACAAAAUCGUGGUUAUCUCAAAAGAUAUCCACAGCUGCAUUCUGUUGCAAUAAUUCAUAUAUGCAGUUGAUCAAAACAUCCAUUGGUAUUGAAAUUUGAAAGGAAAGCAAACAUCAAAUUAAUACUCAAAACGAAAGCAAGAUUGUUUCACUGGUUAGGAACAUAUUAUAAUGAUCUCUGAUUUGAAAAACAUGUUUCAUUGAUACAACUAAAUAAAUCGAUACAUUGGAAAUAUCAAUCAACCUAGAAUCCUCAACGCAAAUCUUUCUAAUCCUCAUGCAUUGCAACAAUUAAUAAGGUCAAAAGCCACGUAGCACAGCAUCCACGAGUAUGCAUGAUAUUUAAAGCCUCAGAAGCAUAGACAAGCACUUCAUCUUUUUUUACGAAAUGCCCAAAAGGCUCAUAAUUAAGCUAACUCUGCACAAAUAUGUUGUGCCAAGCAAGCAGUGAAUAAUUUAACAUGCAAUGACAUAUCCACUAAAGAUCGAAGUGUUCACCAAACGGAAUGAUCGAAUUUCACAUAACCAUGUUACACUGAAUCUAAUCGAGGACGGCAACAGAUCAAUCAAAAGCUAGCAAAAGCAUACAGCUGGUGAAUCCGCCUACUAAACAGAAAGCGACAUACCUUGCCAUCGACUUCCCAGAGGAUGCCGUUCUCGAUCUCUCUGUAGGGGAACGAAUCCGACAGGAGCUCGUCACCUGCAACACAUCCAAAUCAAACAAAUCAGAUUUCAGUCAAACCAAUCGCAUCAGCAAACACACAACACAUAAUCCCCCACGAGUUCAAACUCGAUCCCCACACACAAGCAGAUCUGACGAUUCGAUAAAAAAAAAACAAUCAGAAACCACAACCUCCUACCAGUAAUAAUUCUCGGUUAGAUCAUCCGAUUCAAACACGGAAAACGCCCAGAUCUAACCGCGCCACCUCCAAUUCCCAAAAUCCCCACAUCCCCGACUCCAAAAACAACAAAAUUACCCCCGAAAAAAACCAGAGAAAAUUAUGAUCAAUUCACGCACCGGUAAGCAGAUCCUGGUAGACCAACAUGGUGCCGCCUCUUCAAAUCUCUCCCCCCGAAUUAAAAAAAAAAUUCGGCAGCGGAAACCCUAGAGCUCUCUCGGCGAGGGGGGAGUAGCGGCGCGGACGGACGGAGAGAGAGGGUUUGAGGUGGAGGCGACCAGCCGGUAUUUAUAAGCGGGCCGAAAUAUCUGGGCCGCGAUUCUGGCCGUCCGAUCUGGCUGAUGCCGUGGGAAUAUUACCGAUGGACGGCCCAGAUCUCCGAUUUGUGCCGGUUUGGGCUUUUGAGUGGGGGAGAAGCCGGGAGGAGUACGUGGUUGAUUGCCUGCCGUCCGAUCGGGAUAUUGGGGACGGAUAUUCGGAGGCGGACGGCUCAGAUGCGUUUGUGGCGGCCGAAGGGAGGUCAGCGGGGGCGGCACGGAAUCGUUUGGACUUGUCCGCUUUCGCCAUCAUUCAGUGUUAAAGGAUCAUGAAUCUCUACCUCUACUACUUAAAAAAGAGGUGCUUCCAUCGUUCAUCAAAAAAACCGAACGAAAAAAAUCAGGUUUGUCCGAUAAAAAACCGGGCGAAAAAGAAGUGCGGAAAAAGAAAAGAAAAACCAAAACUGUCCGAUCUAGAAAAUCCGGGUCCUAUUCGGUUAGCAUCACCAGGAGAACACGUGCAUAUAUCUCUAUCUCUGCUACUUAAAAAGUUAAGAAAAAUUUCCAAAAAAAAGUGCGAAAAAUAUUUUCUGUCCGAUUCCCAGAAAAAAAAAGGUGCGAAAAACGGUUUCCGACUUCAAAAAAGAGUGCCAAAAAAAAGAUUUUUGUACGAAAAAACAAGCGACAAAAGAAAGUGCGAAAAAUUUCUGUCCGAUUAAAAAAAGGCAAAAAAAGGGUUUCUGUCUUCCGUAAAAAAGGAAAAAAUAACGCGAAAAAUUAUUUCUGUCCGAUUAAAAAAAUCCGUCGUCUGUGCCAAAAAAAACCAAGAUCCAAAAAAAGUGCAAAAAAAAUUCUGGUCGAUUAAAAAGGAGUGCGAAAAAAGAGUUUCCGUCUUAUGUAAAAAAGGAAAAAAUCUCUACCACUUACAAAAUUACGAGUGUUUCCGUCAUCCGUCCGUGAAAAAAUAGGCGACAAAAGAAUCGGGCAAAAAAAUGGAAUCCGAUUAUAUGCGACAUGGUAAAAAGAAAGGGCGAAAAAAAACCGAAUCUGUCCGAUUAAAAACAGUCCAUAAUGUUCAUAAAAAAAUCAUCCAGGGUCCGCAUCAAAUAACACAAGGAUUCCGUGAGGUGUUUCGUCCGUCUUCACCUAUUUUUGUCCACAACAUCAUAAGUCCGAACACACAACAAAUCAUCCAGAGUCCGCAGCAAAUAACACACAAAGUUUUAAUCAAGUUUGAUCCCAAAUACAAGAAUAGAAGAACAGCAAACGGAGAUUAAAAAAAACAAAUUGACCAAAAAUCGAGCGGAGUUUGCCGCAGCCGCCACCGUCUCCCAUGGCCAGAUCUGACGAGGAGGGGGCAUGGAGUGGCCGCCAGUCGUGGCUUGCCGAGCUACGCCGCCGCCGCUCGCCACCGCUGUCGUUUCUGCCGAGGGAGGGAGGCGAGGGUGGAAGGAGCCGCCGCCACUGCCGCCGAAUCCGUUCUCCGCCACCGAAUCCAGCCGCGGCCGCCACCGCCGCCCGAUCUGUGGCGGAAGGAAGGCGAGAGGGGGCGGAGGAAGCCACCGCCACCGACUCCUCCACCCGCCUGAUCUGGCGCGGGAAGAAGGCGAGAAGGGGCGGAGGGCCGCCGACUCUGUGCCGAGAGGGAGAGCGCCGCCGGUGGAGCUGGUGGAGGAUGGGUGAGGGAGUGGCCGAGGGGAAGCGGCGCUGCCGGUGGAUCCCCUCCCCGUUGCCGUGGAGUAAUGGGGAGGGAGCGGGCGAGGGGAAUCGACAGUGUCCCGUUGCCGUGAGGAAGGGGAAGGGAGUGGCCGAGGGGAACCGGCAAGGUCCCCUCCCCGUCACCGCACCGGCGAGAUAGGAGGAAGAGGGUAGGGAUGGCAAUGGAUCGGGUCGGGCACGGGUAGAGCAAAACCAUGCCCGACCCGAUGCCCGACAUUGCCCGCCCAAACCCUACCUACUAGAGUUAGCGGGCAAAACUCCGUGCCCGUACCCAUGCCCAGCGGGCGCGGGUAUGUCCGGCAGGUACCCAAUGGAUCUCACAUGAAUAAUAACUUAAAAGAUAUGUAAUUUAACAAAGAGAAAUAAAAUCAAUAAUUUACCAAAUUAUCGGUUAUCAACGAUAAUUUGAAUUACAUCACAACUUAGUAUCGGUUAGCAUCACAAAUGAACCGAGAGAAAUGGUAUAAGAAUUAAGAAAUGAGUCAAAAUUAUCUAAUACAUAUGAAUCGGGUCGGGCAUGGGUUACCCAUGGGUAAAAAAUGAAACCCGCCUAUUACCCAUAACGUCUUCGGGUCUCGGGCGGGCGUACCCAUGGGUAAAAAGUCACACCCACGCCCGUGCCCAUCGGGUCGGGUAUCCAUGGAUACCCGGACCCAUGGGUAAAAUUGCCAUCCCUAGAAGAGGGGGAGAUGGAGCGGCGACGCCGGUGAGAGGGAGGGGGAGCGGUGACGCCGGUGGGGGAGGGGAGGGGAAAUGAUUUUAGGGUUAGGGUUUGAGCUGCUGAGUUUUUAUAUAGAUCGGGAUCUAUCAGGACCGUCCAUCAGAUUGGACGGCUACGGUUUCUACCGUGUCGGGCCGAGCGCCACUCCCGGGCCGCCCACACUAUUAGGCCGCGUGUACGCUCCGUACGGAAUAAAUUCGCUUUAGCCUCCUUUAUUUGUCCCCUCAAACUCCUAAAACCAGUGCAAAUCUUUAAUUUUUAGUUCACCCGUCGCAACGCAUGGGCAUAUUUGCUAGUCUUAUCUAAAUGGGGAGUACAAAUUGAAUUCUUUUGCUGUUGAACAGAUCAAUUCGAUGGUUGAUAACUUAUCAAUGACAAUUAUGUGUGAAGUUUGUGCUACUUUUCAAAAUCAUAUGCUUCUUUUGCUGUAAACAGCUCAGUUCGAUGCAUGAUUGAUAACUUAUAAACUGACCAUAUGUAUUUCAUCAGUUGAAAUUUGUGCUAGUUUUCAAAAUUAUGCUGGACCCAGGGUUGAGUCUUGAAAGAUGCAUAUUGUCCACAAAGUAACAUGUUUUCAGUAUUUUGAAGAUUUGAUCCACACAACCUCAGAUUCAGAGAAAUUGUUCUCUAAUCAGCUAUUGCUAAAAUAUUUGUAGAUCCUACUUUACUGACAGGGAAGAGCCGAAAGGGAGAUGCUAAAGUUUGAGACAAUGCAAAGUGGGAUUCCAUGCUCCCUCAUGCCCAGAGAAUAGGGACGGAUAAUCCUGACCUCCCAAAUCCCAAUGCAAGAAAAGAAUGGUUUUCACGGUAAAGUGAGCAUAUUUUUCAGGGCAAAGAUCAGUAAAGUGAGCAUUUUGGAAUAAAGGUGUCAAAGCAACUUGCAUGGCUCCUGUCCUUUUGUCAUUCAGUUGUAAGCAUGGUACUAGUUAAUUUGUAGAGGCUUGAUCAAUUCAUCUUCAGAAAUGUUCUUGUUCGACAUAAGCUUGAUUAAGACCAUCUCAGCUGUAAUCAUUUAGGUUCAAAUCAGUUCUGAAAUACUACUAAGCUGCAGAUAUUACAGACAAUUUGCAGUUUUUGAUAUGUACACAGUACUUGAUGCUUCAUACUAGUUCUAAUAGGGCGCAUCAAGUCAGCUCUAUGAUUGCUUUGUCUAGUGCCGUCUUCAGAAUCAGGAAGAUUAUUUUGUUACAAGAAAAAAAAAAGAAGCAAUAACGUUUGCCAUAUUCAGAUGAAAGCCUGAAACAUCAUCUGAAUUUGUGACUGGAUGAAAGCUCAACAGGCCCAUGGUUAGCUGAGCUAACUGAACCUGGACAACACUUGUAUAGUAAAUCCCUUCAGAAUGAGAGACUGCUCUGUGCUUCGCUAAGACGGCACAAAGUCACUUCAAGCUGCUAUGCCACUUCUCUCUCAUUCUUGCAUGAAAAAGUUACACGCACUACUUCUCAGUCUGAUACAGUUACAGAGCUUCCUUUAUCUUCUCUGAAGACUGUACCUGUACCUUUGUCACCUUUGCCUCUCAUUAGAUUGUUAGCACCAUCAGUAUACAUUCAGUUUCGUAAAAACUUUCGGAAAUAUGGACAACUGUUUUCAGUAAGUACCAGUGGAGAAGUAUGGAUAUCUACCAAACAGUCCCAUGUGACAGAGAGCUGACUAAGGGCAUGGCCAACGCAAGGGGUACCUCAAGUGCCAUCUAGGAUGGGGCAGCAACACCCCCAAAAAGCUAAUUUCCCACCAUGUAAGUUGCUUCAGGUGGUAGUCUCGUAUUUUUAUUUCAGUCCCGGAUGUUUUUCAUUUUAGUCCUCACAAUUUUCCAAUUUAUAUAGAAGUUCAAAUUUUACACUAAACACCCCAAAAUCCAGAAAUUAAUAUAAAAUCUCUUCUCCCUCAUUUCCCCACCGACACCCCGAUCCCCUCCCUAUGCCGUCCCACUUCACCAGCCGAGCUCCGCCGAGCUCAUCUGCCCUCUUCCCUCUCUCCAGCUCGAGCUCUCUUCCCUGGAGGCAUCGCCGCCUCUCCCCUCCCUGGUGGCGGUGGAUGGAGGCGCAGGAGGUGGGGAUCGAUGCGGCGGCGACGGAUCGAGGCAACGGUGGCGUGGAACGACGCGGGGGCACGCCUCGCCGCCAUACCCCUGUCUCCUCGGCGGCGCGUGGAUCGGGGUGGAGGGGAUGGAGAUCGAGGCGGCGUGGGUGGAGGAUCGAGGCGGCGGUGGCAGAUCGAGGCGGAGGUGGCGGCGGCGGAUUUGCCGGUCGGGAUGGUGGAAUAGCCGGCAUCGGCGCAGAAUGAGGCGUCGGUGGCUCUUCUUCUCCCCCACUGACUAGCCUCGAGCUCGCCGGAUCCGCACGGCAGCGACGACCUUGACCUUGACCAUGGUGGCAAUGCGCGCGGGAGCUCGAGUUGGUGGCAAGCUAGAGCAAUGGCAUGGGGCAACACAACUACCCAACGCGCAUCCUCAUCGAUUCCUCCGGACGCCAGAGCGGUGUCUCCGACAAGGUGCGCGGACCUCCUGCAGCAUUCACACACCCUGUAGGAAUGCGGCUCCUUCCGACGUGGCGCGAUUAUUCCCCUCGGAAAGGGUGAGACCACGCUCCAGCGUGGAGCGUUGGCCAUGGCCUAACAUCUGCAGAUCUUCUUUAUAUAUAUAUAUAUAUAUAAUGUGUAUAGCAGUUGCAGGGAUACUUGCCAUCAGUAAUCAAAAGUUUCAGAAUAGUUUGCUGAAUACUACCUUAACUACAGGUAAUAAAACCUACCCUUGCCUUGCCAAAAGCCAAUACUCUUUUUGUUAAACAGGACAGCACAGCCUCUUGCCAAUUGGCACGGGAUUGUGAAGAAGUUGAGUGAGGACACUUACCAAAAUUUGACUGCAAAAGCAAUACUUGAGGAACUCCACGAACAAAAUAUAACCAUAUAUGCAGAAAUAAUAUACCGUGUAUCCUAUUAAUCAUAGCAGAACACCAAUCCUAGUGGAACUGAAUUGCAUUGUUUUUAAGAUACCUUUUUGUUAUAGUAGGCCCCCACCCCCACCAGGCCACUAGGCUUUCUCAGGGCUUUCACAAUGCAAGUACAUGGCAGUUACCUCGUCUACGUGGAGGAAAAAGCAAGUGGGCCCCAUAUCUCUGAUUGGUUUUUCGCAUCUUACUAGAGGAACGAUAGCCUCAGCGCCUCACUCUGCAAAAAGGCUGGCGCAGUGACUGAUUGCCAAGCGUGGCCGUCAUCUGGGGCCGCCACAACUGUGCCACCACCAAGUUGCUUGCACUGUGGAGAGCGUGGCUCUGAAUUGCUUCAUCCUAUUUGGCAGUCAUUGGCAUAGCUUGCAUUGCUACUGCCCUCAUCCCAGCCGGCAUUUAUAACUUUUGCCACAGUUACUCCUUUUGACAAAGGAAAUGUCGUAGAGUCUGGGGAACUUCUCUGCCAGUGGCUUCCCUCCAAUCCAAUUAUCUACCCAAAACAGGGUAUUCUUUCCAUCCCCCACCUUUUUUUCACAGAAUCUAUAAAAUUGCUCCCUUACUCCCAUAAUCCCCUGCCAGAAGGUGUUCCCCUAUUCGGUUCUUUGAAUUUUAGAUAAUGUUUAUCAAUAACUCUUGCGGUUCUAACUUGUUGAUUUUGUGGCUAAUUUCUGUGGGCAUUGUGUUAUGCUAAUGUGCAACAUUGCUCUGCUACAGCAAUGAUAGAUGCUUUUAUGCAACAGAACCCUCAUCAGCUCUUUUCGCUGAGUAGCUUAGUCUAAAACACUCCUUAAGGCUGAAUUCUCUGGAGCAUUUAGGCCGAGCUACUUAUCGGCACGCGAAACAAAAACGAGUCAUUGAUAGCUGUCUAAAUGCCUACUAUUCCCCCCGUUUCAUAUUGUAAGUUAUUCUAGUAUUGUUCAUAUUCAUAUAAAUGUUAAUAUAUAUGUCUAGAUUCAUUAACAUCUACAUAAAUAUGGGUAAUGAUAGAAUGACUUACAUUAUGAAACGGAGGAAUAUAUAUUUUAUUAAUUAGGAAAAGGCAGGUCUAGUGAUUAUUCUUCAAAAAGGUAGAGUUAUGCUCAGCCGGCACAUUUUUAUCAGUGAUUCAUAAUAUCUGGUCGAGUUAGGCAAAUUGAUCUCACAAUAAAAUCAGUCACCUGAAAUUAACACAAACAUAGGAUGUUGUGCGAUCGCGUCGGCCCCAACAAAUUCAUCAACAGCUCUAUACCUUCGUAGCAUAGGCUGUGUUUAGUUGGUGCCAAAAUUGGAAGUUUGGUUGAAAUUAGAACGAUGUGACAGAAAAGUUGGAAGAUUUUUUUUUUUGAGAAUUACACAUUACAACUCCCUAUGAACGCACGCACGCAAACCCUAACACAAACAUAGGAUGUUAUGCGACCGCGUCGGCCCAACAAAUUCAUCAACAGCUCUAUGCCUUCGUAGCAUAGGCUGUGUUUAGUUGGUGCCAAAAUUGGAAGUUUGGUUGAAAUUGGAACGAUGUGACAGAAAAGUUGAAAGAUUUUUUUUAGAAUUACACAGUACAACUCCCUAUGAACGCACACACGCAAACCCUAACACAAACAUAGGAUGUUGUGCGACCGCGUCGGCCCAACAAAUUCAUCAACAGCUCUAUACCUUCGUAGCAUAGGCUGUAUUUAGUUGGUGCUAAAAUUAGAAGUCUGGUUGAAAUUGGAACGAUAUGACAGAAAAAAUUGGAAGAUUUUUUUUUUAGAAUUACACAGUACGACUCCCUAUGAAUGCACGCACGCAAACCCUACCCUCCUUCAGAUUGACGAAGUCACCACAGGCGCCUCGCUGUCGACGGGUACGUCGCCUACCACUAAAAAAAUUCGCUCCCAUGGGGAGUCGAACCCAGGACCUCGGUGCUACUGAGGCUCUUAUAACCACUAGGCUACAGGCUCUUUCAUGAAAAGUUAGAAGAUUAUGUGUGUAGAAAAGUUUGAUGUGAUGAAAAAGUUGAAAGUUUGUUUAAAAAAAAUUGGAUCUAAACACGGUCGUAGUCAUGUUUCAUAUACCCAACAUAAUCUACUAGUCUCAGCCUAGCCGUUCAGCCAACAUUUUAUUGGUCCAAAUGGCCAUAUAAUUUAACGACACAUGGAGCAACAUGAUAAAGGAUGUGUUCUGAGCAGCGAUCCGAUGAAUUGCCGAGUAACUAGUCAUGUCCUUCUGGAUCUCUUGCGUACUAUUAGCCACGCUAAUUAACCGAUGGUUGACAGUGAAUAAAUUAUUUAGAUGGAGUACAUGGAUGUGCGACUGUGAACUAAACCGGCUGCAUCCAUGCAGCCAUGAGGAGUUGGAAUGCAGUGCAAAGUCUAUAUAUGUGGCAAUCUUAAACAUACGAGAAGAGUUGGAUUCGUAUUAUUUUUUCAGUUAUUACUGAUAUAGUAUACUACGAAAGAACUCAAGAUUAAUAUCAUUUUAUAUUCUAAUACACCGUAGUCUUAACAUAGAAAUCGUAUAUUUAAGUAAUAUAAGCAAUAAAAUUUAUUGUAUAAAAAGAGUAGCAAGUAUUAAAAAUAAAAAUAAAAAUGAAAAUGAAAAAAAUAUUUUUUGGCUAAUCCACAAAUUUUAUUGUUUUAAAGGAAAAUUAAUGUACAAAAGAGUAGCAAUUAUUAAAAACAAUUAAGAAUGAAAAAUGAAAAAAGAUAUAUUUUUUUCUAAUUCACAAACUUUACUUUUUUAAAAAUAAAAGUCAGUGAAAAAUUAUUCUAAGUGACUAUGUUAAAAUUCAAAAUAGGUAACUUAACCAUGUUGAUAUCCAUGUCUAUAAAAAAAAAUUGAAACAAUAAAUAGCAACUAUAAACAUAACAAAAAAUAUUUCUCACGAUUUUACAAAUUAUAAAAGCUUUUAUUCAAUACCCUUAAAUUUACGAAAGUAAUAUAGAAUAUUUAUAAAAUAUACUUUUAUAUCCUUAUAAUACAAUCUUCACCGGUUUGUUAGUAGCACGCAUUACUACCAUGUUUUGGUAUUGUUUUUUCUCAAUAGUCUACAAGUAUAGAACUAAAAAAUGAACAAUGUUUAUUGACAUUUAUGAAUAUUGAACCAAUCGCUAUAAGAAAAUCUUACAUUGUAAAUAAGAUUUAAAUAGUAUUAUCAUGGGUUAAAUUACCAAGCAAGCCAAUUUUCUAGUAUUAUCAUGUAUUCAUAACCAAGUAGAAUGAUAAACAAAUAGGCAUGCCAUUGUGUAAGCAGAGAACUCACAAAUAUCACAGAAGAAAUGAUUAUUACUAUUAUUAAACGAUAAACAAAUCAUGAUAAGAACCAUUUGAAUAUACGUGUGAAUUGUGAUUACAGUUAGACAAUCCACAUGACCAAAAUCUGCCUUAGCAGCAAACACUUUCCAAUUUGUAAUUGUCAGAACAAUCAACUGGACUAACCAAGUAGACAUGCCAUUCCAAUUUCCAAUUGUCAAAACAAUCAAUUGUAAUAAUCAGGUAGAAUAUCUAGUGGAGACAAAUAUCUCAACUCAAGUGACUAAUUGUUAGAGGCAUGUCAUGACGACCUUCGGUCGAACUGCCAAAACACUUACCAAACCACGCCGAAGUGCAAGGCAUGCUCGAGCGGUGAAGCGUCCAUUGAGCGAUGAAGCAAAAGAUCUUCGCCACCAUAUGAUGAAGGAGCAGCAUAAGGCAAAGGAGGAUGUGCCUUUGACAGAGACCUUCGCCCCAGGAAGCCCAACAAGCGGCCCAGUUAGGGGCCUUUAGGGCCCAUAGACCGGUUAGUUGGGCCAAAAGACAACUAUUACCCAUGUAAACAUCCUUGUCAUGAGAGCGACUAAGUUAAUUCCCAAGUAAGCAGAAACCAUAGGGUUGUAACCUUGAUACUGUAAACCUAUAAAUAGACCCAAGGGGUAUGUAAUAAGGGAUCUAAUUUUUAAGAACUCAAUACAUAUUCCCUACAUAUUUUUCACAUAUUAGAGUAAAGCAUGCCCUUUCGGCAGACGCAUUUGUCAAUCGACAACACUAAUCUAGAUUAUAAUGAAAAUAAUUGGAAUUCACAACACCUACAUUCCAUUAGUAAUAGCACCCAAUUAAGAAUCACCAUCUUCUCCUAACCUAGAAAAAUAUCAAAACCAAAGAUCUCUAUUACGUUGCUUGUUGAAACCCAACUGAACCCCUCUUUGAAAUCCCAUUACCGUUGCAGUCGAACUCAAAGAAAGGAUCAUCCUCAUCAAAACCAAAACAUGUAACAACUACACUAUACAUAUCAGUCUUGCCUUUUUUUUUUUUCAGAAGCACGACUUCCGUCAAAAGAGUAUAUGCUCAUCAUCUUCCAAAUCAUAAUAAUUUAGGCUUAUCGGAAUCCUGCUGAUUAGUACCGACCUCGGAAGAAUAUUGUCCAGAGCUGCCUUUAUAACAUGUGCAUCUAAAAAUUGUUGGGCGUGGUUGCCAUGUUUUCUGGAUCACCCAUUUGAUAGAAUUAGCGGAUCAUAUCCUUUGACGUUGCCCUAUCAAGACAAAACAUACCUUUCAUGUGCACAAGUGCCUUAACUGGACAAUAACAACAAAUCACUGCAGCAACACUACGGCAACACUCAUGUAAAGAUUGAGAUAGUUUCUGUAUUAACAAUUGAUUUUUGUUACUAUAGUACAAAAUUUAACUUGGAAUAUUGUUGAAAAACAUUUAUCUUGAAACAGCUAGAGGAUAUAAAGUAAAACUUGGUCUUUUUUGAAAUAGUUUCUCUUUUCAGGUUCUAGCAGUAGCACCUCAAAUGUAUGUUAAGAUUGGACAUAAUGUCGAGAAUAGAAAAAAAAAGGACUGAAAAAUAAUAGAGGCUUAUAUAAGAGUAGAGUUAAAACUGAUCUUUUUUUGAGUCAGCAUGCCACGUAGUGCUUCAGAAAUUUGAUCAUGUGCUUCCUAAUCCCUAUCAUUCAAUGAAUUGCCAGGAUAGCUGAUCGACUUCAACUCAACUUGCAUGAAUUUUUGCAGUCAGUCUUCAAAAUUUUACUAUUUUCUAGAAUUCUCAUAAUUUUCUAGGCAUUUUUGUACUCCACUACUCAGAAUAUAUUUUGCUAAUUACAUUUUUUCCUCUAACAGUGAUGAAGGUGCUCAUUGGGUGGAGAUGGAAUGACAUGAAGGCCAACUUUAGGAAGAUCUAGAUUUGUGACCCCAUAUUGUGAAUAAAGCAGUGUUAUGUGCAAUUAGUAUUUGAUGUCAACUUCUAUAGAUUUAGUCCAGUUUGAUGUCAACUUCAGAUUUAGUCCAGUUUGAUGUCGACUUCAAAUUUAGUCCAGUUUGCUGUGCUGUUAGAUUGGGCAAGCCAAAUAUUUGCGAUAACAAGUACUAAUUACUUGUUCUACUUGUUUUGACAUUUCUGAUGUUUUCUUCUAUUGGAGCAAUUACCCUGAUUACUAACCGAGUCCUGCAGUCAGUUUGUAGUUAUGUUUUCAGAUCUUUUAGUCUUUUUCAGAAUGUUUCUGAUUUUCUCCAGAUCUUUUUAAAAUAUUUUGAAUUUUCUGUAGGUUUAUUUUUUGACUUUGCAUACUGUUUAAAUUCCAAAAUUUUCUGUACAUUAUUUCGUAUUUUAGGAAAAGCUACUUCAUAACUGCUGCAAAUGAUAUUUGAAUCCUGACUUUGAAUUUUAGAUGAGAAAGAUAUAUCCCCGUCACUACCCAUCCAAACAAGGGCGGAGCUAGAGAAAAAUGAGGGGUUCCUAACUUCUCAUAUCCUCCUCUCAGUUGAGCUAGUUAUAGAGUUUUGGGCCAGAAUUUUGGGCUUUUGGGGUGAGGGGGGUUCUCUGAUUUGGGUUAGGGGUGCCUAUAUGGUGAAAAUAUGAGGGUAACAGGCUAUUUAGAAUUUUAGGCAGGGUUCCUGGGCACCCCCCGGCUCAUUGGGCUCCGCCACUGCAUCCAAACCAAAUUGCCAAACCAGCUAAACCCACGGUGGAGGGGUAUUGGAAAGGGAUUGGGUGGUCCACCCAAUCCCUCCCUCCAUGGUGAUGGUUUCCUCGGGAAAAAUACUACACACCAGCCAAACGAGGCCUUAGGGCUUGGGGGUAGGGUAGGUGUGGUUGUUUUUCAAUAAAACCCUUGUGUUUAUUAUGUUUACAACGCUACUUCUAAAUCAGAAUUUUCUCUUCUUCGUAUUGUAUUCUUUGAAGGGUAAGAAGUUUUUUUUUUUUUGUGAAAAACACAACAGGCUGUCAGCCAGUGCGAGGGUUAGUUCAAAAUUUUAUACAUUGGCAAGGAGUUUUUCCAAACCAGCGGUGGACGAAGCCCGACACGCGGCAUCCUCAAACACGAAAUUAACAGUGCGAUUACCGGCGAACCACGUUUUGCCUGUUGCAAACGCGCUCACGAGGAGCGAUAAUCAGAAGACGGCGACGUGUUAAUCAACCGAAUAGCCAAAAAAAAAUUCAGAAAAAUGAGAAAAUCGCAAUGGUUAGGAAAUUGAUCAAUUGAUGAUAUGUCCAGCCACGGAUAAUUCAACGAAAAAUACUGCACGUGCAAAAAGAAAAUGUUACUAGCUGUUUGCAAAUGUUGAUAUGGCAUGGAAUCUUGGUUGUUUUUUUAUAAUAUAUAACAUUUAACAAAUUAAAUCAUAUAGUUGAAAACUUUGGGACUUUGCCUCCAUCAUCUUUUGCCCUUGGUCAAACUGCAUAUUUCAUCAGCGCGACCGGAGACCACCGCCCAACCGCCGCACGCGGCCCAAUCAGUGCUGGCCUCCCGCAGCUGCGUGCGACCUUUGCCUGCGAGAGAGAAAUAAAAGGGAGGAAGAAGAAGAAAGGAGAAGUUGGGGCAAGGUGCUAUAAUCUAGUAUUUUGCAGUUGAUGGAUGCGAUUCAACGAAGGGCAAAAGAUGAGGAAAGGAAACUGAAAUGGCAUGGAGAUAAACAUUUCGUCGAACACCUUACCGGUCAUGUGAGCUGCCGUGGUCUGGCCCUCCCCCAGAUUAAAACAACUAAUUGCACCAAGUCACUUACCAUUCCCCAAGUCUAUUGUACCUCCCUUAUCAUUGGGCCUCUCAUGGUCCAUUUGUUUCUUUGCAUGUUGCUGGCUGUUCUGUCAUCUACUACCCAUCUGUAACGACACAUGAACUCCAAAGGGCUGAACAGAGAAUAUCUUCAUAUCUCAAAUAUUGGCUUCUCCUCAUUGACUAAAAUAACUAAUAUAUGUACAAUCAGAUUAAUUUAACUUAUAUUUCAUUGCGUGUCCACAGCUCAAUUAAUCUUUGUUUCUGCCAUCACUUAUCAUUCCAUUUGCACGCUUCACCAUAUGAUAUAUUUCUAGCUUAGUUCAUAACAAAAAUUAAAACAUGCAUGCAUGAACUUCUGUAGCCAAAUUUACCUGUACAUCCAACCUAUUUGUUGUCACUUGGCAAAGUUAAUAGCACCUAUACAUGGGAAAUUUGACACAUUAGUGUUAUGCUUUAGACAUGGAUGGCUUACAUUGACUUACUGCAUUUGACUCUUGUAUACAACAAUAUGAUAGACAAUACAUCUCCUGCUUGUGUCAGUAAGAUAAUCGUUGAUGCCAGUCACUACAAAACCUUAAUGCGUACGCUGCUAAUUAACCAGAACCUUCAAUUAUUUUGGUAUCACACCCACCCGUACGAUAUAUAGUCAACCUUGUAUUCUUAGAUUUGGUGUUGCUAACCCUUAACCUUGGUGUUCCUCUUUGUCCUUCUCAUCGGAAAUAAUAUGACCGCCACUUAGAUGUCAACCAUCUAUCAAGCACUCAAGCCUCAUGCAUGUUUAUCUUUCAUCACAAUUUGUAGUCCAUGCUUGGCCCAAUCCAACUACAACUCAUAGCACAGAUGAACCUUUGUAACUCACAUUUUUAACUUUGUUGUACAAGUAAUUUGUGAUUUUGUAUUUAGGUUUACUGCUUUGCAUUAUUUAGAAUUUAUAAUGAAGCCUAUUUCUAUUUGCUAUCUGUGUUGUGGUCAUGGAACCAUUCAUAAUAUGUGUUGUCUAGAGGCUGCUCUACCAAUUCUACUAUGCCGAUCGGAUCAUGUGGCAUGAAUAUGUAGUGUAAUCAUCAUAUACCAUCCUAUCAAACACUGAGUCUUUUUCUAACCAAGACCUAGCAAACACUAACUCACUAAGUAAAAGAAGAAACCAUACUCAAUACGGUUAGUGUGGAGUUCAACCUCCAAGAACGAAUGAACCUCAUAAACUUGAAUUGGCACCAUAAAUAUGUAUUGUAUCCGUUUUUUCUCGAAGGCUGGAAGCAAAGCAUCAAGUUCUGGGAAUUGCCUAAUCAUAAAGCUAAUAACGCAAUAAUCAAGGAAAUGUGAAAGGUGAUAAUAGAACUAAGCAUGAAUAGCAAUAGCAUUACCAUAAGUCCAUAACGCCAGAACAACAUAAACUAACAGUAUGUCCUCCCUCCCGGAUGAAAGAUCUUCCCUGCACAAUCAAGAAAAAUGGAUCAUAUUUGAGAAGGGCACAGAAAAAAUAAUAUUAGAGAAUGAAUAGGGAAAAAUAAGUUCCAACUUUAUAGGCUACUGAAACUCAAAAGCAGAGACAGACACAGAGAGAACCAAGAUCAGCUGCUCCUAUCACUGUGCUAAAUGCUGUUAUCGCUUCAUCCUAAGUUUGUGUGAGUAAAUUAGAUUCCAAGCAUGAUUCAAUCAUGACAAAUCAUGUCAUAUAUCACUGCGUCAACUUCCAAAGCUUGUGCGCCGGAAUAUAAAUAAGAGCUCACCAAGAUAAGAGUAUAGAUGACACUCUGUCCAUUGUAGCCUCUGCAACAUUUCUAUCAAUACAGAUUUUAGUUAACCAACAUGUUAGGAGAGGGUGUAUUAAAUACUAUCGGAGAAACAUACCAACUUCAAAAUGCAACCAAAGUAAGAGAGAGUCCAGUGCUGUGUAUGUGUGGUGUGCGAGAGAGGGAAGUUGGAGCAGACCAUCAUGUAGAAACUCCUCAGUUAUUGAAGGAUUUUUCUUCAACCUGCUCUUUACCUUUAUAUAUUAGUCUAAUUUUAUGUCCUAUGAUUUAAGAUCCAUAUUUUGAUCAGUGAUUUAAUUUUUACAUGAUAAAGAAAUUUGAAAGUACCUAAGAAUAACUCCCACCAAAUACUAUUAAGCAAAGUUUUCAACAGAAUGAAAACGAAAAGGGUUGCAACCCUUGUAUCCAUGAGCUAUUACGAACAAACAUAAUAAAUGAAGUACAUGUUCUUCAACAUUAUCUUUGAAAGAACUGAGCUGAUCAUCCUAGUUUGUUAACUCACUAAUGCUACCGGUGAGUUGUCAUAUAUUCCAUGGUAACUUUAUAUUUAGCGGAUAUGUACAAGGAAAAAACAGAAGAAUAUGGAUGAAUUCCUUUUUCUUUGAAACAGGAUGGCUGUAUUGUUUUCUAGGACUGAAACAACAAAUAAGUUAUAAAGGAAAAUGACUAUCCAUUUGGUAUAACCAACUUGUGGCAGACCUUAAUAAGUUAGUAGGCAUUGCAAAGAAGUCGACCCCCAAAAGCAAUAGCUUAUGUCAUACCUAGAGUUCUAGAAGACUGGAAGCACAACUGGACAUCAGCAGACCUUCUACCAGAAUUCACUACAAGAGCAUUUUCCACCUUCAAAAUGGUGAAAACGACUAGAAUCUCGCACAACGAUCUUCCGAUGGGUUAUUUCACUAAUUAACUUCAUUACUGUAUGGCAGUCCACACAGACCCGAAGGUUCUUCACCACCCGGAUCACAGACCCUGGAGGAGACUUGAUUAAUCCAAAAGCAACAGCCAAUCUCUCGCUGUGCAAGAAGAGAUGGUGCUCCUUUUCGCUUUCUUCCAAGUCAUGCAUCACAGAACUAGUAUCAGGAACAUAACCCCUUUUGCGCAUCUCCAAUACCAUUUCCUCAAGAAAAACCAUAAUUUCUUCUCUAACAUCAAGUGGCACUUCCCCAGCAUGAAACAAACGGAAUUCUCUUCCAGCUUCAAUCCAGCUAUACCCUGGCUCUUUUCUUAUCUCCAAUCCAAUCAUGCACUUUCUAACCUUGGCUACGGAAUCCCACUUUCCGUUCACUGCAUAAACAUUAGAUAACAAGAUAUAUGUGGAAGAAUCUUUUGGUCGUAGCUCUAAUAGUUUAUCGGAAAUCCUGAUACACAUUUCAGCAUCCUUGUACUUCGUACAUGCGCUCAACAGGGCCCCCCAAGUAGCUUCAUCAGGCUCAUAUGGCAUUGUAGUCAUUAGCUCUUCAGCUUCCAAUAAAUGGCCUGAGCGACUAAGAAGAUCCAGAUAACACGUGUAGUGCUGCAAUCUAGGAGUGAUGCCAUACUCAUUCUUCAUUGACUCAAAAAGCUGUCGCCCUUUCUGAACAAGACCAGCAUGGCUACAAGCAUAGAUCAACCCGACAAAGGUCACCUCGUUGGGCUUCGCUCCUGCAAGAACCAUCCUGUCAUAAAGAGCCAAUGCCUCCUCAGCUCGACCAUGCUGUGCCUCUCCAACAACCAUUGUCGUCCACGAGAUUACAUCACGGAAUGUAAUCCCCUCAAAUACUUCUCUAGCAGAGAGUAUAUCACUGCAUUUCGAGUACAUGUCAAUCAACGCAUUCCCAACAAUCAUGUUGGACAGGAACCCAAGCCUCAUUGUGGAACCAUGCAACUGCCUACCCAGCACAAAAGCAGCCAGGUCUGCAGAACCGCCAAUGACGAUCGACAGCACGAAUGCAUCAUCAAUCCUAACACCAUCCCGCCUCAUCUCAACAAAAAGCUCCACUGCGCCGACACUCUCACCGGUGUUCACUAGCCCCGAGAUGAGCGCAGUCCAUGCAAACAGAUUGCGCCCAGGCAUGCUACGGAAUAGCUGCAGCGCCUCCUCACUGCGGCCGUUGGACGCGUACCCAGAAACCAGGGCAGUCCACACAACGCUGUUCUUGGCACUCAUACUGUCGAACACCUUCCUGCCAUCGUCCGGGGAGCCACACUUGCAGUACAUGUCGACCAGAGAGGACUUGACGACGUCAUCCCCGUUGUAUGGGGAUACCACGAAAUGCGCGUGCAGCUGCCUGCCAAGGCGGCGGCUACGGAGCCUGGCGAAGACGCUGGCAACGGAGCUGAUCACGAAGUGGUCGGGGUGGAGGGCGUCGGCGGAGAGCAUGCAGCGGAGGAUCGGCAGCGCGAGCUCGGGGGACGCGGAGUGGGAGACGGCAGUGAGGAGCGAGGAGUAGAUGUAGAUGUCCCGGCGCGGGGUUUCGUCGAACAGGUGGAGGGCGUCAGGGAGGAGGCGGGACUUGGCAUAGGCGGAGACGAGCGCCGCGGGGUUCGGAGGGUGGUGGGCCAGACCUUCCUUGAGGAUGCGCGCGUGCAUGCCGCGCACGGCCGCCGGCGACCCCGCCGUGGCACGGACGGCGGCUACAGCGGUGGCGGCCGGAGAGAGCAUGCAUAGGUCCGCUUCGUGUCUUCCUCCCCAAUAUCUGAGCCGUUCGUUCUGAAUUGAUUGAUCAAUAAUUCUCCUUCUUUCGCCUCCUACAAGCCCACAAGGCCACAAAGGGAUCGUUUGAGUUCAACUAGCAAAAUACCCGUGUGUUGCAACGGAUGAAAACAAUUUUAAUAAUUAAUCUGUCAUAUGGUAAAUCAUUUAUUUUGCUCAUUGAUACUUAAUAAAUAUUACGUGAAAGUAUUUAGAAAUACAUCAAUAUCAUUGUUUAUUAAUAAUAUUUUUCCUUUAAUAAUUUUAACUUGUAUUUUAUUAUGUUAUCACUUAUAUAUAAAUUUAUAUUUUUCUUUAAUUUUAUGUAUGAAUCGUACUUAAACUUUAUAAAAAUAUUGAAUUCACAUUGUUUCUAACCUGAUAACCUGAUAAAGAAAGAAUGUUAAAUUAGAUUCAUGCCAAGUGGCACAAUAUGUCUUUUAGAAAAUUUAUAACCUAAUAAAGAAAAAAAUGUUAAAUUAGAUUAAUGCCAAGUGUCACAGUAUGUCCUUUAGAAAAUUUUAUGGAAUGAAAACUUCUUAUAAGAAUAUACCUUAAUAAAAAGAUAUUUUGAGUGACUGAGUAGUUUGUGGUAUAGAUUCUUCUUAAGAAAUUUAUGUGAGUUAGGAUGAGUAGAAAUUAUGUGAGCUUACAUUUUCCGUUCUAAUGCAACUAUUCUAAGGGUGUUUGGAUGAGAUUCAGUAACCAAAUUACAUCUGCUAAAAACAAAAAUCAAAAAUAACAAGUUGAAAGUAGGUGGAACUGGGCAGAGGCAGAUCUAACCCUGUCCCAAACUUUUUUGAGGGAUAACGCAGAAUACCUGAUGAGGUGUGGGUAGGGAGGGAUGCUCACCGGCGAUAGACGAUGCGGUGGAAGCAGCCUCUGCUCGCAGGAUGGGGAUCGGCGCAAGCGGCGGGCGAGGAGAAGAAAUUCGAGGCCGAGGCCGAGGCCGGAUGGGAUGGAUUAGGAUGCUCACCAGUGAGGGAGCAGGAGAACGCCGGGCCACCUCUGCUAGCAGGAUGGAGAUCGGCGGGAGUCGGGGGGCGGCGGGCAAGGAGACGGGGCGGAUUGGGGAGGCGGAGGUCGUGCAGCGCUCUGCUGCCGCGCCGCCGCGGUGUCGCCUGCCUAUGGGUCAUAUGCACAGGCCCCUGAGGCUGGAAUUUUUUCAUAUCCCAAAAAAGUUCAUAUAAGGUCCCUUAUCUUGUCGUCGAGUUUUAAACUGUCCUGAACCCUCUAAUCUCAUAAAACCGGAUCACUUUUCAUCCCAAGGUAGUAAUGUUUUCUGGUUUUAUUGAUGUGGCGGCUAAGUCCCACGUGGACUCCACAAGUCAACCGACAAUCUUCUUCCACCUCACUCCCUUCUACUCCCAUCUCAACCCAAACCUUCAGGGCAUCUGCCAAUGGGUUGGGAGAAGGGUGUCGGUCGGUGGGGAAAAGCUCGACGGCGGAGGCCGCCGGCUGACGUGGCUCCCAACGGCCAAGAGCGCUCACAUCAUGGACUUGCGCGCGGGGGGUGCAACGCGGGUCCCAACUACAACUGCAAUGCCGUCUUCACCUGCACGCACGAGGGCUGAGGCUUCUGCCUCGUCACACUGGCCAAGCUCCUAUCCCCCUAGCUCAUAGUCGCCCCCCGUCGAGCUGCUCAAAAGCUGAUGAGUUUAGGUGUCCCCGAGCUCCGCCUCUCGUCUGCAGAGGCGCACGCGCGGUUCCGCUACAUCGUCUUCGAGGUCAACUCCAUCUACACCACAUUGCGGUCGCAUCGUCCCCGAUGCAUGCGCCCUUCUCCCCGUCGCUCGCCGCUGCCAAGCAUCUUGUUGGCUGCCAGCCUUCUCCCCACCCAUCGCCAGGCGCCAUCGUCGGGCUUCUACCUACCACCGCCGCCCAACGACUGCCACCCUUCUCCCUGCUGGUCAACGGCCACCACACACCUCUCCCGCGAUUCAGCGUCUGGCUUCCUCUUCGCGUGCAUGCACGAACACUCAUGGAGUCAGUGGUGCUCGCGACUAUGCUCAGGCGUCGCAACGAUACUCCAUCUCCCAACUCUUGGAGAUCCUCUCGCCAAUCUCAACGGUGUGGCUGACAUAUGACCACGAUACGGACGCGGCGUAGAUACGUGGCGAGCUGCCACGCAACGAUGUGGCAGUGUAACCCGAGGGGACGACGUGUCAGGAGCCCUUCCUACUUCGCUUCUUCGCGCUCUUCACCGUGCAGGUCCAUGAUGCAGCCGUCAGUCGCCACUCUUCUCCCCACCUCUUGCCGGCUGCCCUGGAGGUUUGGGUUGAGACGGGAAGAAAGGGGAGAUACGUGGGAGAAGAUUAUCGGUUGAUAUGUGGGACCCACAUGGGCCCCACGCUGACUCAACCACCACAUCACUAAAACCGGGGAGCAAUAGUGCCUUGAGACGUAAUGUGACCUGGUUUUGCAAGAUUAGGGAUAUGUUAUAUUUGGUAUUUUAGUUCAGGGGCAAUUUUGAAACUCGGCGACAAGAUAAGGGACCUCAAGUGAACCUUUUCCUUUCAUCUCUCUCUUUUCUCUUUCUUUUAAGAAUAGUAGAGAUGCUCGUGCGUUGCGAUAGGAAAUCCAAAUUACAUAUGUUAUUUUUUUCAUGUAUGGUGGCGGAGAGUUAGAUGAUAGAUAUUUGGGGGCCUUUUUUCAUGAACCUGGGCGUGAUGUUGUCGUGCUCGGAUUGGAAACUGAAUUUUUAUAAGUGAUUGUUUCCAUUUGAUGUGAGCAGAAGAGUCGGACGCUUGUGGAGGACAUGGAAACGGACAACAAUUCACAUGUCGGAUGAAAAAUUAUGAGACACGCUUUUCUAUGACAAACGACAAAAACACUAUUAAUGUUUUAAGUAGAUAAAGAUAUAUAACUAUAUAAGUCGUAUUUUGCAAUGAAAUUUAUAUAGAUACAUUAUAACCUACCUCCCAGCAUUUUCAUAUUUUUUUUUACCACCGUAUACAUAUAUUUCAAGCACUAAGCAUGAUUUAAACAUUGUGGUUUUACAUUUCAAACAAUAGUCAUGAAAAUUUUGAAAAUAUUUUAGAGCUUUGAUAAUGGUGUUAUGGCCCUGCAAAAUGUCAGCUGAAUAUGACUCGUAUAAAAAGAAACGAAGAAGAUAAAUGCUCGAGCAAACCGAUUUUAGUAGUUCAAGGGGUACAAUAAGGCAAAACAUAGGUCAGUGGGUUAAGGGUGUGCUUUUUAAUCCAUCUUCCUAACUUAUACUUGUUUCCAAUCUGCUAAAUAGUGUAAUUUAUGUAAAAAAAUUAUAAAGAAAAAUUGCUUUAAAAAAUCAUAUUAAUUUAUUUUCAUGCUUUUAAAACUAAUAUUUAAUUAAUCAUGCACUAAUGCGUGCUCUGUUUUACUACAUGCUAAAGAGGAGGGGUUCCUAGCCCCUCUUUUCGUACUUAGCCCAUGUGAACCAAUGAAAUAUUAUAAAAUAGAUUUUCUUUCAAACCAAUAUAUUAAUAUGUCCGUGCUAACGCUACGAUGAUAUUAUAUUUUGACAAUCAGGCAUACAUAUACAGAUUCAUGCCAAGGAUACAAGAAAAUAAAGCCUACAUAUUCAUUAUUCUACAUGAGUUAAUGACAUGUGGGUCAGGAUGACAUAUCUCAAAUUUUGCAAAAUUAUAAUGGCAUGGUUCCAAUUUUCCCUAGAAAAGAAAGAGUGCCGCCACCUACAUUUCAAAAUCCCACACAUUUCAAAGUCCUAUACAAUAAUAACAAGUUUAAUACCAAGACAUAGUUAUAGAUUUUUAGUUUUGUAUUAGCAAGUUUUUUGUUCUGCGAAUGUUUCAAAAUCCUAAAUUGAACUGUAUUUCUUAUUCAGAUCAUAACCAUCACAAAAACUCAUAACAGAUCAAAAUGUUCAUAUAUUUGGCAGCAUGAUGGACCAUGGGUGAAAAUAGUGACCCAAAACAUUUAGCUGUCUUUCAGUUUCAGCAAAAAAAAAAAUUAACCACUUUGACUAGUAAUAUGCCCGUGCUAACGCUACGAUAAUAUUUUGUAGUUCAAAUGUUGUACAUCCAAAUCGCCAAAAAAAAAUGCUUCCACAUUCCGUUGAUCUUAAUACAAAAUAAUACACAUACACCACAGUAAGGACAUGAUUAUUUUACAGCCCACUUGAUGGUUCGAUAACAAUACAUCUCUGGAAAUGGCAUGAGGGGUAACAAAUCUAGUAAAGUGGCAAAGAAUUCUCUCAAUAAUCUAUUAUGCGCAUACUAUGACCACUGAUUCAGAAAAAUAUUAUCCAGAUCCCAACAAAACCUACACAAUUCUGAUUGAACCAGUGUGUAGGAGAGUAAUAAGGUUUCUACAGCCAUUGCAUGCUUCAGAUUUAUUUAACAGCCCAAUAGCUUAUUAUGCACUUCAUUGUGUUGAACUUGAAAUGCCUUGCUUGUGCUGCAGAGAGGUGAAACGGAAUCUUAAGAAUUAUUAAAGGCGUUUCAAAACAAAGAAAAAGGCUAGGCCUUGAUCAGCAUAAAUUAGUUCAUUUAAAUUUUAGCUUGCUCAAUGUUUUCCAUGGCCAAGAGUCAGCAUAAACACCAACAUUAAACAACACCAUAUAAGGGGAAUCAUGCUUGAUCAAUGUUUUCCAUGGCCAAGAGUCAGCAUAAACACCAACAUUAAACAACACCAUAUAUGGGGAAUCAUGCUUGAUCAUCAAGUGGGGAAUAGUAAACUAUUGACAAUCCUGCCAAUUAGGUACAACACAAAAUCAUGCAAAUCAGUUGUAUCAUAUUUCAAAAAGUUAAUCAAAUCAUGUAAUACAGUCAAACCACACCCCAGUCAAGCUGACCUCACCGCCCCAGAGGUAGUCGCCUCCCCGGAACUUCACCAAGACAGCCCCUCCAUGUGCCCUACAACGAUGAUGUAGGCAUCCACAUUUGCUGUCAUUGGUUGCCCUGUAAAUAACACUCGCUGUAGCUCAAUAGAUGUCAAACCACACUGUUAAACAUGAGGCACAUGAUUUUUUUUGGUAGAAAAUUGGGAAAGAAAACACCGAAACAGCACAAAUUAUUUGUACUGAUAAAUCGAAGACUAUUUGAAAAAGAAUUCAUAGAAGUAAGGAAUGCACUGGAAAAGAACACAAUUCUCAAAUAUGGGACCUGAUCACUUAACAUGAUAUCAAAUCGAGCAGUUCGUGAGCAGCAAUAUUUUUUUUAAUGGAAUGAGCAGCAAGAUUUCGAUGAGCAAGAGCAGUGAAAUACCAUGCCGAAGUCCAAACAUUACAUCCAUACAUGGUACUAUCAACAUGUCUACUGCCGUAAAUUCAGACAGUACAUGCUACUCUGAACAUGUCUAUAUGCUGUCAAAAUGCUGAAUAUGACUGAAAUUCUGAAACCAACUAAAUGGGAUCAAGUCUCAACCCAUCGACAAUAAAGCUCCGACAUUAAGAUAAAAUCCAUACAUAUAUAACCCUAAAAACUAAUGCUAACCUCAGCCCGAUAGAUUGGAAAGUAGUUACCUUUAAUAUCGGAUGCAUCGACCCUCACUCCAUUAUCCAGCUAAAAGCAUCAGCCACAAUCAUGGUUCCACAGAUCAUCGUCUGCUGCACGUUGUCCUAGGUGUUAGCACCACCUCCAUGCUGCCCACGACUCAAUUGUGCCAAUUUAAAUUGUUGACAGACUACACAAUGCUGGAACUUUGGAUCAAGGACAUACAGGAGUUCUGCAAAUUAAUGAAGCAUACCGGCUCCCGAAACCAGUUGCUCUCGUCUUUCUCCCUGAUCGGCACUGAAAUAUAAAAGUAGUAAGAAAGAAUGCCCAUGUUCCUCUUCAUAUUUGAAUUUCAUUGAUUCAACUUGAACUCACCUGACAAAUCACAAAACCAUGCAUCCCUUUAAUGUAGUUAUGUUUUCAUCUGAUCCAUCCCUUUAAUUUAGUAAGAAAGUGAAGUUCCUGACUAAGAAUAGCUGCAUUAUUCUAACUUUUUUUUACCAGAACUGCAUUCUUUCUUUGUUUUUUUACCAGGACUGCAUUCUAUCUGUUGAAAGAAAUAUUAUGUACAGUGUACAAUUGCUGAGAAAACCUUGACAUCAAUAGAAUUUGCAGGUUUUUUUAUUCCAUAUAAUUUUAAAAUAAACCCAAUCAUAUUCUCAUUGCAAAAGGAUACUUUGGAAGUAUCAGCAUCGUUACAAAGAGAUUAUAGUGAGGCACAAAUAAAUGUAUGCUCGAAUUACUACAGAUGAAAGCAACACUCAUACGGGAUUGUAUAAUUCUGAAGCAUUCAAAAACAUUCUCACAGGUUUUCUAUAAAUCUAUGCGUAAGCCAUCAUAAUCUAGAAUACUUCAGUCUAUGCUCGAGGUAAGUAUAUAAUAUACACGGUGUGAAUAAGAGUAUAUUAUGUUUCAUGCAUAAGAGUAGCAGUCCUGCAUAAGAGUAGUUGAAAAUCAUAUGGCCGAUGUACCUCUUCUCAUGCAUAAAAAGGAUCCAGAAUAUCUUGUUAAUAAAAUGCAUGUUUUGUGCCAUUUUUCUACCUAAAUCCUUUUUGUCAUGCAUUCUGUAAGACCCUAACGAUCCCCACUCAUGCAAGAGACAAGGUUGCACUAAAACCUAAACUCAAUUUAUUCAUCCAAAAACCACGAUCUGAAACCAUACAUACAUCCCUAGUACAUCUGAAACAAUACAUAAGAUGCCACUGGUGCUGGUCCUCAAUACCGAUCUUCCUCAUCAUCGCUACAUGAAGAGAAAAGUAUAUAUAUUCCCUCCACAUCUAAACUUGUUAUAAGGGUUGUUAAUUAGAAAAAGGUGAUCUCAGCCAUAGAAGUAAAAGGAUGGCUGAGAAUAGGUGAAAUUCACCCAGGCAACAGCUGCUGCUGCGGCUGCUCUUGUUUGGGCAAUAAAAUCAAUUGGUUAUUUUCAAGUCCUACAUUGGGGGAGUUUAAGCCAUUGGGGGAGUUGCUUUAGUUGGUUUCAAUUGUAAUGGUUGAAGGAAUGGGAUCGAGCGAAGCUUACCUUGUCUGCAGCGUGGUGGAGAGGGUUCUGGUGGUGGCGCAACAGAGAGCACAUGGCGCAGGAUCCUUGGCGGUGGCGGCGUCGCGGUACAGAAGGCAUCCCGGUGGCGGCUCAAGAUCCUUCGUGGUGGCGUCGGAGGCGUCUCGCGACGCGGUCGGCAGGAGGGACCGCGCGCCGGCUGCGUGGUCAGCGGUGAGGGGCGGCGCCGCCGUCGCUGGAGGGGGGCACGGGUGUCGGAGGCGUAUCGCGAGUUCGCGACGCGGUCAGUGGGGAGGGGCGCCGUCGCGCUGGCGGCGAACGGAAGGGUGGCAGCAGGGGAGAGAGGAGGAGGUGGCGGCAACGAUUAGGGUUUGCCCGGGGAGUGCGGCGACGCUUGUGGUUAUAGUUGGCCAUGUGGGCCGCCCGGCACGGCACGGCCCAGGCCCGGCCGUGCCUGGGCCGAGGCUUGUCGGGCCGGCACGGCCCGACCGACGCACCGGGCCGUGCCGUGCCAGCCCACGUGCCGCACUCACGGCCCAGGCACGGCCCAACACGCCUCGGGCCGUGCCGGGCCGGCCCGAAGGCACGAUGGGCCGUCGUGCUUUUCCUCAGAAUAAGUCUAAAUUUCCUCCCUCCUAUUGGGCUGUGACAUAUGUACAGCUACAAAAAGUCUAUUUUACCUCCCUCUUCUUUGGGCUGGGGUAUAUAAAUAGCUAAAAUAAGUCUAUUAAAGGUCCCUAUUCUCUAGACAGUUACAUUUAUAUGUCUAUUUUUAGUCCCUAUACUUUAUGUACCGGGCCUGGCCUGCCGGCCCAUCGUGCCGGGCCGGCCCGACCGUGCCGGGCCAGCCCAGCGUGCCGGUGGGGAGGCCCAGGCACGGCCCGACGGUCGGGCCGGGCCAGCACGGGCCCGACCCAAGUCGGGCCGUGCCGUGCUUGGGCCGGGCCAAAAAGGCGUGCCGUGGGCCGGGCCUUCGGGCCUCGGGCCUUAUGGCCAACUAUACUUGUGGUGGCAGGGGAGGCGACCGCGCUGUAGGUUGGGAGAGGGAGGCGGAGCGAUCUGGAUUGGUGGAAGGAGAGCGCGUUGGGGAUUUUCGGUCGAGGUGGGAGGAGCGAUCUGAGCGGCGUGAUUUUUGGAUGAGGGAGUGGGGGAUAUGUGCGCGGAGGUUGAGGGGGUACGUGGGACUGUACGUGGCGUUGGAUCGGAUGAUUCUGGACCGUUGGAUCUGAUGAAUAAAGUACGAAGGAUGUAAGACCCAGUUGAUGAAUUAUAGGGUAGAUAAUUCAACAUAUGAUCAUUACAAUCAUCAGGUUUAGUAUAUAAACAUACGGAGAUGCACAUCAAAUUGAGAAAAAAAUAUCUUCAGUUCUCUUUAAUCUUUACCUCUUAUACAUAAAUUACAGAGUAUCAAAUGAACACCACAAAUGGUCAAAUUUCAUAUUACCAUUGAGUCCUGAUUAUUUCCAGAUCAAGUCAUCAUGCAAAAGUUAAAAUGCUUCAAUCAAUUCCCCACAACCAAAGUAGUACAAGACAAUAUAUAUUUAACCUGAGGUCUCCAUGAUGUAAGCUUCAGUUUUCUUAUACCUACGGACAUCGUCAAAUGGAAAACACAAUUCCAAAAAGCAUGCCUUCCAUCUGACAAAUCCAGGGAUAAAAUCUCAAUUGCUGGCACCUUGGUUAUGGCUUCCAUCGAGUACCGACACCACCCAUGAUCUACACAAUCAACACGGUCUCAUAAACAUAAAUUUAGCAAAAGACAAAGGAUCAAAUUAAACUUUCAACACUCUAUAGCCAAAUGCAUGUUGAAAAUGAAAAAUAUUCAUGACUGGAAAGAGUAUCUAUAAAAAAUAAAAUCAGAUUAUGGGCCUCAACUUUUUAUUUUACUAUGCUAUAAGGAAAUGUAGAAACCAUAAUACUUCCUAAACACAACCAAUAGCACACUGAAUUUUUCAUGCUAAUAAUUGAAAGAUGGAGAUUAAAUAUGCCCAAUGAUGGAGAUUAAACCUGUAGCCUCAAGAAGCUACAGGUGACAUGCUGACAGCUACAAGACCUGAGCGAAGCAACAUGAAUCUGAGUUUUGCAUAGGCAGAACAACAUAAAUUAUCAGCAGUGUCUUACUCUAUAUUCCUCCCAUUUAUGCAGACCCAAAACCUCCAAAAUAUCUCAUAUUUCACUACAACAGUUGUUACAAUACUUAAAAUGAUAAAUUUUCUGAAUGAAGAAUCACGUACACUACCAAAGUAUUUUAAUAAUGUUGUGUAAAGGUCAAAGAAAUUCAAAACCAAAACAUGCUUCAUGGAUGGAUUUGAUUACAAUAACCUCGAAUCAAACAACCCAUAAAAGAUUUUUGCUGGAAGCAUAAGUUGAUCAACCUAUAUUUUGAAUGCCAUUGUCAAUUAAACUCAACUUAGGCCCCCUUUGAUUCAAAGGAAAUUCAUAGGAAUUUUAGAUGAUUUCAGUCUUAUAGGAAUUUUUCCUAUAAAGCCCUUUGAAUCAAAUGAAUGAACCCUAUGGAAUCCUAUGAAAUUCCUAUGGAAUGCCUCUUCCCAUAUAAGUUUUGAAGGAAUUUUAACAAGAGGUGAACCUUGUGGAAAAAAAUCCUUUGAGUCUUUAUUUCUCCUCAAAUUCCUAUGUUUUUCCUGUGGUCCAAUCAAAUGAUCAUUCCUACGUUUUUCCUGUGUUUUGCAAUUCUCUGUUUUACACUUACAUUCCUGUCAGAAUCAUAUGUUUUUCCUAUUCCUCCGUUUUUCUAUUCCUGUGAUUCAAAGGGGCCCUAAUUUGUACAGAUGUAUAUAGGAAAAAGCAACAGAAACCGAUGUAUUCUAGCAAAUCCUCUGUCAGAUUGAAGAGUUAAGAAAUAUAUAUUUAUUCAUAAAAAUGGCCAAUACUUUUUCUAUGAAAGGCUACCUUUCUAAAAUGGUUCAUUCCGGAUAGUUUCUAACCAGAUUCUAAGCGGCCAGAAACCCUGCUCCUUACACUGACAUUUCUAUCUAUCAGCACCUUAUGACAUUACUACAAAUCAGUUCAAUUCACUCCAACGAAUCUAACUGCAUGUGCUUCUUCAACAAGUUCUUUAUCCUAUCCCAACUUGAAAGCAAAAGACAUCUAAAUCACACAGGCUCAAAACCAGACUGUCGAACAAAUUGCAAAUGUCUUCAAAAGAUUUGAGAUGACAACAAAAUUGAGUUAACUGUCCAUAAAUUUACAUAUUUCAGUAUAGCCGUAAGAUCCAAAAAUAUGGCUUUGCCCAGGUUGAGAUGGAGAUAGACCAAAGGAAGGAGAAAACUCACUGUAUCGUGGUCACCAGCCAUGAACAUGUCUCAGCCAUUAGUGCCUACAAAUUCCAGUUUGAUUGAUUUGCUAUGUUCUAUCACAUUAAAUUCUUGAAGCAAGAACAAAGCUCCGCUAUAUAUGAUAUGACUCGUGCUGCUCUGUUUUUUUUUUAAGAUAAAGGAUUUAUAUAAAACCCGGCUUCUACAUCCCGAAGAAUGUACACAGCCAAUCAAGUCCAUACAAGAGCAAGGCUCCUCCCAUUACAUUGCUCUGUUUGUAAGACUUGUUUUCCAACCUGCUGCUUAUGCUGUGUCUCAUGAUCUGUUUCAGUUUUUUUGGUGAGAGCAUGCACGAUGAUGGCAGCUUGGUGUUGGCCUACUACAAGGAUGGAGCCACCGACCCAACCUUCCUGUACUUCUCUCAUGGGCUGAAGGAGGUCAAGUGCCGAGCUGUUCCUUCUGCUCGACACUGGAUGUUUUAUCUACGCAGUCCGCCGUAUUUUUGGUCUAGUCUAUGGUUGUCAGUUGACUCGUUAUGGUCCAAUGUUGGUGUCGGAAACAACUAUCGUUUGCCUGUUAUGGAUGCUGAGAUGAGUCCUUUUUUUUAAAAAAAACCUCCGGAUUAUUGGAUUCAUGAGCUCCUUAAUUUGCUUUGUGAUGGCUGGAGAAAGAUAAUGGUGAAUUUGUUGUGGUUAUUAGCUAUGUAGCUUAACUUGAAUACAUG
rnacentral:lncRNA from 1 species